UCUUUGACGUUAGCGGCGGACGGGUGAGUAACACGUGGAUAACCUACCUAUAAGACUGGGAUAACUUCGGGAAACCGGAGCUAAUACCGGAUAACAUAUUGAACCGCAUGGUUCAAUAGUGAAAGGCGGCUUUGCUGUCACUUAUAGAUGGAUCCGCGCCGUAUUAGCUAGUUGGUAAGGUGACGGCUUACCAAGGCAACGAUACGUAGCCGACCUGAGAGGGUGAUCGGCCACACUGGAACUGAGACACGGUCCAGACUCCUACGGGAGGCAGCAGUAGGGAAUCUUCCGCAAUGGGCGAAAGCCUGACGGAGCAACGCCGCGUGAGUGAUGAAGGUCUUCGGAUCGUAAAACUCUGUUAUCAGGGAAGAACAAAUGUGUAAGUAACUGUGCACAUCUUGACGGUACCUGAUCAGAAAGCCACGGCUAACUACGUGCCAGCAGCCGCGGUAAUACGUAGGUGGCAAGCGUUAUCCGGAAUUAUUGGGCGUAAAGCGCGCGUAGGCGGUUUUUUAAGUCUGAUGUGAAAGCCCACGGCUCAACCGUGGAGGGUCAUUGGAAACUGGAAAACUUGAGUGCAGAAGAGGAAAGUGGAAUUCCAUGUGUAGCGGUGAAAUGCGCAGAGAUAUGGAGGAACACCAGUGGCGAAGGCGACUUUCUGGUCUGUAACUGACGCUGAUGUGCGAAAGCGUGGGGAUCAAACAGGAUUAGAUACCCUGGUAGUCCAC
rnacentral:rRNA from 1 species